AGAGAGAGAGAGAGAGAGAGAGAGAGAGAGAGAGAGAGAGAGAGAGAGAGAACCUGUAUCUGGGACAGUUGGUGUGUCAAUAUAUUUGAGGAAAAUACAUUCUGAGUGAAGAUGGAAACAGUCUGGGGUUGUGGAGAAAAGAAAGAGACACAGAACUUGAAUAUGUUGUUCUACUUUAUGACCAGAGCCCAAAGUAGUGCACUACAUAGGGAAUAGGGCUCUGGUCUAUAGUAGUGCACUACAUAGGGAAUAGGGCUCUGGUCUAAUGUAGUGCACUAUAUAGGGAAUAGGGCUCUGGUCUAAUGUAGUGCACUACAUAGGGAAUAGGGCUCUGGUCUAAUGUAGUGCACUAUAGCGGUAAUAGGGCUCUGGUCUAAUGUAGUGCACUAUAGCGGUAAUAGGGCUCUGGUCUAAUGUAGUGCACUAUAGCGGUAAUAGGGCUCUGGUCUAAUGUAGUGCACUAUAUAGGGAAUAGGGCUCUGGUCUAAUGUAGUGCACUAUAUAGGGAAUAGGGCUCUGGUCUAAUGUAGUGCACUAUAGCGGUAAUAGGGCUCUGGUCUAAUGUAGUGCACUAUAGCGGUAAUAGGGCUCUGGUCUAAUGUAGUGCACUAUAGCGGUAAUAGGGCUCUGGUCUAAUGUAGUGCACUAUAUCGGGAAUAGGGCUCUGGUCUAAUGUAGUGCACUACAUAGGGAAUAGGGCUCUGGUCUAAUGUAGUGCACUACAUAGGGAAUAGGGCUCUGGUCUAAUGUAGUGCACUACAUAGGGAAUAGGGCUCUGGUCUAAUGUAGUGCACUAUAUAGGGAAUAGGGCUCUGGUCUAAUGUAGUGCACUAUAUAGGGAAUAGGGCUCUGGUCUAAUGUAGUGCACUAUAUAGGGAAUAGGGCUCUGGUCUAAUGUAGUGCACUACAUAGGGAAUAGGGCUCUGGUCUAAUGUAGUGCACUACAUAGGGAAUAGGGCUCUGGUCUAAUGUAGUGCACUACAUAGGGAAUAGGGCUCUGGUCUAAUGUAGUGCACUAUAUAGGGAAUAGGGCUCUGGUCUAAUGUAGUGCACUACAUAGGGAAUAGGGCUCUGGUCUAAUGUAGUGCACUAUAGCGGUAAUAGGGCUCUGGUCUAAUGUAGUGCACUACAUAGGGAAUAGGGCUCUGGUCUAAUGUAGUGCACUAUAGCGGUAAUAGGGCUCUGGUCUAAUGUAGUGCACUACAUAGGGAAUAGGGCUCUGGUCUAAUGUAGUGCACUAUAUAGGGAAUAGGGCUCUGGUCUAAUGUAGUGCACUAUAUAGGGAAUAGGGCUCUGGUCUAAUGUAGUGCACUAUAUAGGGAAUAGGGCUCUGGUCUAAUGUAGUGCACUAUAUAGGGAAUAGGGCUCUGGUCUAAUGUAGUGCACUAUAUAGGGAAUAGGGCUCUGGUCUAAUGUAGUGCACUAUAUGGGGAAUAGGGCUCUGGUCUAAUGUAGUGCACUAUAUAGGGAAUAGGGCUCUGGUCUAAUGUAGUGCACUACAUAGGGAAUAGGGCUCUGGUCUAAUGUAGUGCACUAUAUAGGGAAUAGGGCUCUGGUCUAAUGUAGUGCACUACAUAGGGAAUAGGGCUCUGGUCUAAUGUAGUGCACUAUAUAGGGAAUAGGGCUCUGGUCUAAUGUAGUGCACUAUAGCGGUAAUAGGGCUCUGGUCUAAUGUAGUGCACUAUAUAGGUAAUAGGGCUCUGGUCUAAUGUAGUGCACUAUAUAGGGAAUAGGGCUCUGGUCUAAUGUAGUGCACUAUAGCGGGAAUAGGGCUCUGGUCUAAUGUAGUGCACUAUAUAGGGAAUAGGGCUCUGGUCUAAUGUAGUGCACUAUAGCGGUAAUAGGGCUCUGGUCUAAUGUAGUGCACUAUAUCGGGAAUAGGGCUCUGGUCUAAUGUAGUGCACUAUAUAGGGAAUAGGGCUCUGGUCUAAUGUAGUGCACUAUAUAGGGAAUAGGGCUCUGGUCUAAUGUAGUGUACUAUAUAGGGAAUAGGGCUCUGGUCUAAUGUAGUGCACUAUAUAGGGAAUAGGGCUCUGGUCUAAUGUAGUGCACUAUAUAGGGAAUAGGGCUCUGGUCUAAUGUAGUGCACUAUAGCGGUAAUAGGGCUCUGGUCUAAUGUAGUGCACUAUAUAGGGAAUAGGGCUCUGGUCUAUAGAAGUGCACUAUGUAGAGAAUUUUGCUCUGGUCUAUACAAGU